rnacentral:lncRNA from 1 species
GGACUCGACGAGCAUGCUGGGGGAAAGUUGGAGUGUUCGAGCUUUUUUGAUAAGUAUUUGUAGUUUUUUUUUUUUGAUCGACAGAUGACGUCAUUUUCCAUUCUGAAGGAAUACCAAGUGGCGGGACGAAACAAAGCCUCUCAUAGACUGCCCACCCCUGCGCAGGAGUCGGUCGGAUUGUGGAAAACGGGGAUCGACAGUCCAAGCUCGGACCCCAUGAUAAACAUUUUCGAGGGGUGGGACCCGACACUCGAGCCCGGGUCUUCCAGGGUGGAAAGCCGAAGCGUUUCCAUGCGGUCAAUCCGGUCGAAGAGUGCUGACUUACAUUUGUAG